GGCUGUGCCAGAAAUAUUUGCACAGAAGCUGCUGUAGAUUGAACUGUUGUCUGAUACAAGCCAAGGGAAAGCUGUGGGAGAGUAAGGUAAUUAAGAAGAUGGAUCUUUGGAGUGAAGCUGGUGGGAAUGUUGCUGUGUUUUAACUUGCUGAUUGAGUAAGAGUUAGAAAGCUGCAUGCUCUGAUGGAUCUGGGCUUCAAUCAGUGGAAAAAUCCAACUACUAAACUGAAUGGGGGAAUUUAUUAAAACCUGCUUAGAAAAGGAAAAAAGAAAAAAAGAAAAAGCAUAUUCAGUUGAUAGGAAACAGCCUUCUGACAAAGUUGAAAUGUUUUCAAGGACUCAGCAGAGAGAUUCUGAAUUUACAGGAUAGACUUUCUACUCUCUGGGGAAGAAAAAGAAUAGGAAUAAACACUCAAAAGAAGAUUUUGAAAAGGUCCUGUAAAAUCUAAAGAAUAACUGAAAAGUGAAAAGGGUGGGCUCGUUUUGGAACAUUUUUGGGUUCUUUCUUUUUUUCCUUCAUAAAGGCUUUUAUUCUACAGAAUGGUGUUUCUUUAUGGAAAGAAGACUAUUCUGUGGCUGUGCUUUGUCCAGUCAGACUUUCCGGAGUUCACUGAACCCACUUACCAGGAAGAGGGGGGGAAAAAAAAUCACUGAAAAUGAGAAAGGGAACAUGAUGAGAGUAAAAGGCUCUAAUUUAAGCCUUUAUGACUUACCAUGUGUGAGCUCUGGGCAGUUUAUCAGGACUUCCCCAUUGCUCUAUUGUAAACAGCUGAGGACCAUUUGAACCUGGUUAAAAAUGAAAAACAUGACAUUUAAAUUACUGGACACUCCAGAGACUACCUAAAUGUUAUUUUCAAAAUCAAAUGUUUGCACAAAUUACAGGUUAUAUUUUCAGUUAGUACAAAUUAGCUGGUACAAACUCUCUGAAGUCAAAAUUACAUUAAAGCACAUACAAACAUUGUUCUUCAUUUCCACAUCCAAUUAGUUUGUUAAGUUCAUUGAGCUACCUUUGCAUAGAGAUGCUGUAAAAUUCCAAAGAAGUAAGCUCAGACAUUAAUGUUGAAAAAUUAAAGUGCUUGGAUAAAAACACAGCCUCCUCCUCCUCAUAUGCCAUGGAUAUUAUUCCUGUUGACAGUCAAAAUUUGCUUAGCAGAAGCUGAUCCAUUCCUGGGCAAGGAAAAUGUCUACAUAAUACCUGUGGUGUCCAAAACUGUACCCCCUCUUUAGGUGCUCCCCAAGUUCCCAGAGGUUCAUGGCAUCAAGAAGGAGAAGUCUUAAGCUGGGGUCAGAGCUUGGCUACCACUGUACUCCAGUAGCGCCCAGGUUUUCUCCUUGAUACGCUGCGAGUCUGUUCCUGCAGCCAUUCCAGUAGGAAAAUAAUCUGUGCAACGGAAAGCAGCUCACCAUAAAGUUCAGCAAAUCCGUUCAUAGGCACGCGUGACGUCCCAGUAACAAACUGCAGUAAUCGAAUCCGUUUUUCAGCAUCCAUCAGUAAAACGGCCUAUUGACAGAAAGAUACACGGUCACUGCCUUUGCGCUAAUAUAACUGUAGAUGCCAUUAAAAAAAAAAAGUAAAUUCUUUAUUUGCAUAAUAAAGAAAUAAUAAUAAAGAAGACAGAAACACCUCAAAGAUCAGACAAAAGCAAUCCAAAGGUUCAAAAACCCCCCAGAUCAGUGUUAUACUUUAUGAGGACCUCAGAGUCAAAACUUUUGGGACCAUCUCACCGUUUGGAUCAGUGAAACUUCAUGCUACUGUAGCGUGGUGAUUGCUAAUACAAGUACAUAUUCUUUGUUUAUAGCAUACAUGGUCAUGACAAUGACAUAAGAAACUCAGAAAUUAACUUUGAAUGCAUGUACUAAGCUGCAAGAUUCCCAUAAUUUUAAGGAAAACAGCCACCCCUUUGAAAAGUAAAAAUCUAUUGCUAUUAUGUGAAAAAAUAUUUUAGUAGUUUUUUUGUGAACUUUGUUAUAUGCUUCUCAUAAAAAUACUUUACUUCACAAAUAUUUCAAGACACUUUAGAUAAAACCAAAGAUCCAGACUUCACAGCUUGGGUUUACUUCUAGUAUAGUCUCUGAUGAGUACCACCCUUGUCAUUUCCUGCAUAUAAAAACGCACUCUUCAGCAGUCCUCGUGAAGAAAACAGACAGAUUUCGUAACAGACUCCGCAACACCGUACGGUACCUCUGACUUUCAGAACUACAGAGAUGCCAAGUGCAGUAAACAAUAUUACCUUCCAGAACCACUGGAUAACAGGAUGGUUCGGACAGUAACCGUUUUUGUAGAUUGUGUGUUGUCUCCAGUCGUUAACAUCAACAUCCCCAAGGCCGCACAUCAGUAACUGUAUGUGGAAGCAAUUGUGAGGGUGUUAACUGAAGAUGGUUUUGUGUUCUCCUGCGCAUGCUACCAGAAAAACCUGUUACCCUCUCCCUCUGCUGCCUGCCCUUUUAAACAGCCAAGCGGGGCAAACACAAGGAGAGCUGGGCUUCUCUCCAGGAGAAUGCGCACAGUGUUUCACCUUACUGGAGAGAGACUGUUCAACACAAGCGUUAGGUAUGAUUUGUGUGACAGCAUCUUUUGUAGCGUUUUGCUCAAAACGCACAUGGCCAAUGUAGGCAUAAUGGCAUUAAUUCAACAAGCGGCUUUACACACACUCAACUGCCUCACUGAAUAAUUAAUAUUUUUUGUGCUUUUUAUUUAAUAGAUUCAUUAAUUAGAGGGAAAAAACUCAUUUCCCACCAUAAGUAAAGCACCUUUGCCUCCCAGUUCAGUUACAAUUUACUGAAUCCAGAAUAUAACGCAUCUAUUUGCAACAAGCGUUACUGAUCUAUUGUCUCUAGAAGUCAGUUAAACAUACUCACCUCUAGCUCAUUUUCAUCAAAAAUUUUUAUCAGAUCAAUAGGAAGAAGUUCUGUGAAUCCCUAAAAGAAAGCAAAACAAAGUUAAAAUUCUCAUAGCAUGUAAAAUUAAAUUUUUAUUUAACAAGAUCUUUGACUUCAGGGAAGGUAAGUAAAUGAAAUAUACAGUUGUGAAAGUAUUACGAAUCUCUAAUUUAAAAAUUAAUCACUAAAAGUUUUCAAGCUCAAGUAAUUUAAAUUUGACAGAGAACGACCAUAUGAAAAGAAAAAUAUGAAACCAUAAAACAUAAGCAUUAUAGAGCUCGUGCAGUCAUACAAAGCUCCCCACUCCCUUCAUCCGGACACAGAUUUAUAAGAAGUCCACAUAAAAAAAUGCCCAAACCCAAAACACAUUACUCUGGACUCUCAAAAAAAUAUCCAUAAACUUGAAAGAUGUUUUGGGUGAAAAGCAGCAGCUAGAAGAACCUUACCUCCAAAAAAGCAUUCAUUUGUUUUUGAACUCUGUUUACAAAUCUCCACUGGAUGACGAGGCUGGAGCAGAGAAACAAACACAUUCAUUAGGAGGCUGAGAACAAAGUGUUCAGGGAUUUUAACUACCGUAAUAUUUUCAGUUUCUCAUUUACAGCUUCAGUUAUCUCCCCUCAUACUGUGAUGUUAAGUAAACAGAAGUUGGGAAGGGAAAAAUCCCUCCAAUUCCUGCUGAAGUUUUCCUGUCUGUGAAACAUGAAAAUGAACAGCCUUUUAUUAAUUGUUCAAAUUCAUCUUGCGUGACUUUUCAGAUUGUUGAAAUAAAUCACUGACUAGUAUAAACAAGGUUAGUAAUGAAUAUUUUCACUUUAGCAUGUGAUAUUAAAACUCUGCACAUAAUUCAACUUUUUUUUUAGAUACGACCUUUCUUUAUCACUAAAAAUUUUUGAUGUAACACUAGCAGAUGACAUGCCAUUAAUCUUUUUGUGCCUAUGGAUAUUAAUUCAAAAUUGGGGACAGUUAGAAUUGCAUUUAACAGUCUGUCAAUAAACAGAGAGAUGGAUAACAACUGCAGUAUCAGCAGACACUGCUUGUGUUUCAGCGCUAACCACCACCGCACAACGCCCUACAGGCGCUGGGUGAAGGCUUCAGAAACCCCCUUCCUACUCGAGCAAGCUGCAGGCCGAAUUGGUGUGAAUAUUACAAUUAUAACGUUUGCUCAUCACGUCGAGGAGGUACUUACUAAAAAUGGCAGCAAGUAUUUGUUGAAUUGAAUGUUUUAUGUUCUGGUAGGCAAAAAACCCUAAAAUUAAACAUAAAUCGUCUGUUUACAUUUGGCCAAUUGUUGAUAGCGGCACUGGUACCAAAAUCACAGACGACGGCCACCCUAGAGAGCAGCUCUGGGCUCACCUGAACUCAGCAGCUUUGGGUGACACUCUGGAGAAGCGAGUUUCCUGACUACGUAGGGGAUUUCAGAAAAAAACUGUUCAAUUAAUUCUAUUUUUGUUCUUAUAUUGGUCAAUGUAUAUUGGACGACAUUCAAAAAUGACAUUACAGCAUUGGAGAGUGUUCAUUUGAUGGUCACUCACAAUGCUUAAAGAAAUAAUAUAAAAUAUA